UUAAAGAAUACUUCUUCUUUUUCUUCUUCUUCUUUUUUAAAUCUACAACGUUAUUAAGUGAUCUUAAGGGUGUUAACUGUUAUUUUGUGAAGAUAUAAAGCAGGCAACAGGUGCAAUAAGUCAAUUACGAGCUUACUUUACAGAAGAAAAUCGCCUUAAUUUUGUAGAAUCACAUAGUUUCUUUAGUUCUUUAGUGUUGUAAUUUUUAUGGUUUGGAGCCAAUGCCCGGUUUUACAGUAGCUUCAGGCUGUGAAGAAACUCCUUCAAGAAGAUUGGAUAAAAUGUGAUGGAUGCCAUGCUUGAUAGCAUGAAAAAUAUUUUGAAUUACGAAAGAGGACAAUUUAUUUGAGGAAAAUCGAUAUUUAAAGAAACCUUAAGGAGAGCCUUUCAAGAUUUAAAGGAGCCUUAAGAUAAGCCUUCCGAGAUUAAAAGAAGUAGUAAGGAUUCUUCUGGAAUUUAGACAAGGGAUCGUCCAUAAAUUACCUAAUGUUAUUUUUAAACUUUUCAAAUACCAUUCCACUUCCAUGUAACGCUCCGUAUGCUGUCGCAGACACCCACCCCAAAAUUACGUAAUGCAUAUCUUCAAUUCCCUUAAUUGCACUAAGGAAUUCUCUGACUUAUUCAUUGUAUUAUUUAUUAAUUUUGAA